rnacentral:tRNA from 1 species
GAGGGUAUAGCUCAAGUGGUAGAGUGCAUGCUUAGCAUGCACCAGGAUGCACGAGGUCCUGGGUUCAAUCCCUAGUACCUCCU